rnacentral:rRNA from 1 species
ACCGGCAAACGGGUGCGGAACACGUACACAACCUUCCUUUUAGUGAGGAAUAGCCCGGGGAAACCCGGAUUAAUACCUCGUAACAUUAUGAAGUGGCAUCACUUUAUAAUUAUAGCUCCGGCGCUAGAAGAUGGGUGUGCGGCUGAUUAGGUAGUUGGCGGGGUAACGGCCCACCAAGCCUACGAUCAGUAACUGGUGUGAGAGCACGACCAGUCACACGGGCACUGAGACACGGGCCCGACUCCUACGGGAGGCAGCAGUAAGGAAUAUUGGUCAAUGGACGCAAGUCUGAACCAGCCAUGCCGCGUGGAGGAUGAAGGUCCUCUGGAUUGUAAACUUCUUUUCUCUGGGGCGAAAAAAGGGCUUUCUAGCUCACUUGACAGUACCAGAGGAAUAAGCACCGGCUAACUCCGUGCCAGCAGCCGCGGUAAUACGGAGGGUGCAAGCGUUAUCCGGAUUCACUGGGUUUAAAGGGUGCGUAGGAGGGCAGGUAAGUCAGUGGUGAAAUCCCCGAGCUUAAC